UACGUAGGGUCCGAGCGUUGUCCGGAAUUAUUGGGCGUAAAGGGCUCGUAGGCGGUUUGUCGCGUCGGGAGUGAAAACACCAGGCUUAACUUGGUGCUUGCUUUCGAUACGGGCAGACUUGAGGCAUGCAGGGGGAGAACGGAAUUCCUGGUGUAGCGGUGAAAUGCGCAGAUAUCAGGAGGAACACCGGUGGCGAAGGCGGUUCUCUGGGCAUGUUCUGACGCUGAGGAGCGAAAGUGUGGGGAGCGAACAGG
rnacentral:rRNA from 1 species